rnacentral:rRNA from 1 species
UACGGAGGGUGCAAGCGUUAUCCGGAUUCACUGGGUUUAAAGGGUGCGUAGGUGGGCAGGUAAGUCAGUGGUGAAAUCUCCGGGCUUAACCCGGAAACUGCCAUUGAUACUAUCUGUCUUGAAUACCGUGGAGGUGAGCGGAAUAUGUCAUGUAGCGGUGAAAUGCUUAGAUAUGACAUAGAAACACCAAUUGCGAAGGCAGCUCACUACGCGAAUAUUGACACUGAGGCACGAAAGCGUGGGGAUCAAACAGG